AACUAAACCUAAAUUUCUAAACCCCAUCUUCAAUCAUCUAGCCGCCACCUCUAUCUUCUUCGUGCUUGGCUCCACCUCCACACCACGACACUAACUUCUGCCAUAUCCACACCACAGAUUCUUCAGAUCUGAAGAUUCAUUGUCUCCGCUGGAUCCAUCACCGCAAGCUCGUCCCAUUCACCUCGCCGCAUCUCUUCUUCCUCUUUUAUCUCUGCACCACCUCCGUCACAUCUUCUUCCUCCUCUUCAUGACGUUGUCUCAUUCUGUUAUUAAGAACAAUAAUAAAAUCAAAAUCAAACAAUGAGAGAGACAGAAGAUGUCGAUUAGAAUCUCAAGCACAUAAAAGAUCCAAAUAAAUCAAAGAUCAAAGAGAAUAAGAAAUAGAUUCCGACGGUGAUAUGGCGGUAGCACGAGACGUUGGUGGCGCGAGA
rnacentral:lncRNA from 1 species